AACGAACGCUGGCGGCAUGCCUAACACAUGCAAGUCGAACGAGACCUUCGGGUCUAGUGGCGCACGGGGGCGUAACGCGUGGGAACCUGCCCUUAGGUUCGGAAUAACUCCCCGAAAGGGGUGCUAAUACCGGAUAAUGUCUUCGGACCAAAGAUUUAUCGCCUUUGGAUGGGCCCGCGUUGGAUUAGCUAGUUGGUAGGGGAAAAGCCUACCAAGGCGACGAUCCAUAGCUGGUCUGAGAGGAUGAUCAGCCACACUGGGACUGAGACACGGCCCAGACUCCUACGGAAGGCAGCAGAGGGGGAUAUUGGACGAUGGGCGAAGUGCUGAUCCAGCAAUGCCGCGUGAGUGAUGAAGGCCUUAGGGUUGUGAAGCUCUUUUACCCGGGAUGAUAAUGACGGUACCGGGAGAAUAAGCUCCGGCUAACUCCGUG
rnacentral:rRNA from 1 species